UAGGGAAUCUUCCGCAAUGGGCGAAAGCCUGACGGAGCAACGCCGCGUGAGUGAUGAAGGUCUUCGGAUCGUAAAACUCUGUUAUUAGGGAAGAACAAAUGUGUAAGUAACUAUGCACGUCUUGACGGUACCUAAUCAGAAAGCCACGGCUAACUACGUGCCAGCAGCCGCGGUAAUACGUAGGUGGCAAGCGUUAUCCGGAAUUAUUGGGCGUAAAGCGAGCGCAGGCGGUUAGAAAAGUCUGAAGUGAAAGGCAGUGGCUCAACCAUUGUAGGCUUUGGAAACUGUUUAACUUGAGUGCAGAAGGGGAGAGUGGAAUUCCAUGUGUAGCGGUGAAAUGCGUAGAUAUAUGGAGGAACACCGGUGGCGAAAGCGGCUCUCUGGUCUGUAACUGACGCUGAGGCUCGAAAGCGUGGGGAGCGAACAGG
rnacentral:rRNA from 1 species